rnacentral:rRNA from 1 species
UUGGCUCAGGGNNAACGCUGGCGGCGUGCCUAAUACAUGCAAGUCGAGCGAAUGGAUUGAGAGCUUGCUCUCAAGAAGUUAGCGGCGGACGGGUGAGUAACACGUGGGUAACCUGCCCAUAAGACUGGGAUAACUCCGGGAAACCGGGGCUAAUACCGGAUAACAUUUUGAACCGCAUGGUUCGAAAUUGAAAGGCGGCUUCGGCUGUCACUUAUGGAUGGACCCGCGUCGCAUUAGCUAGUUGGUGAGGUAACGGCUCACCAAGGCAACGAUGCGUAGCCGACCUGAGAGGGUGAUCGGCCACACUGGGACUGAGACACGGCCCAGACUCCUACGGGAGCAANNCAGUAGGA